CAGAAAGAUAUUCACAAGCCAUGCUGCUGUGGGACUUCAGAACAACUCAGGGCCGGGAUACCUGAACAGCUUGUAGGGAACUGGGUGUGACGGUGCUCUCUGAGCCCAGCUGGGCAGGAGGGCUGUAAAUCUGAGCUCAGCCUGGGCGAUUUAGCAACUCAGUGAGGCACUGUAUCAAGAGGGAGAGAGAGAGGAGAGAGAAAAGAGAGAAAGGAAGAAAAAGAAAGGAAGGAAGAAAGAGAGAAAGAAAGGGAAAGAAAGAAAGAAGGCUGAGAAGGGAGUACAGUGUAGGAACCUUAGUUGCAAUCCCUGUUCUGGGAGGAGAAAGGCUUACAGGAAGAAGAAAAAGAGGCGAAAUAUAAAGACGCAGUUUCCCAGCAGCAGCCCUGGGAGGUCCAAGAUGCUGGUGCUGUCUGGAGCCAGGCAGUUCCCUCCCCGCAGUGCUGUCCUUGUAGAAACGACCAGUCCACUGCCAGGGCACAAGGAAGACGUGUCCGGAAGUUGGGGGCAGCAAUCAUUCCGCAAAGAAGUGGGGUCUUGAAAACGCUCCCGAGGCCAAGAGGCGAAACGUAAUGAGACGGAGAGCACUACAGAUAAAGGAAAAGCCCUCACAGGAAGCACAUGGAGUCUUCAGCUGGGUACAAACGGGGCGGGAGGAAGAGGGCCCCGCCCCGGAAGUCGUCUCCGGAAGUGCGGCCCUCGGCGCGGAUCCGAAGAUUUCCCCGGAGCGGCCGGAACCUGCUCUGCCCAGGCACCCUGUAUGGGUGUGGGGUCCGCUUGGGCUACCGAGACAAGACCAGGACGGUUUCACCAGCGUGUUCAUCCGCCAGGAAGAAUGAGCGCCAGGGGAAAAACACGCGUGGCCGGGGGCCUGUGUGGGCGUUGCCCAUCAGCUUCGCAGAGCACCCGAGGGACACGCGUGUGCCCCACUUUCCUCCUUCCACACGGCCGGCUAGGAGUCACCAGCCCAGCAUCCACAC
rnacentral:lncRNA from 1 species